rnacentral:lncRNA from 1 species
UUUCAUAUACUAAAUUGAACCAUAAAUAUAAAAAUCAAUACAAACUUUUUCCUUUUAUUCGUAAGUAUAUGCAUUAAAAUCUAUAAUCUCUAAAUUAAUGCUUAUAUAAAAAUUUAGAAUUUGUUUACAACUUAAUAAAUAAAAUACUACGACUUGACCUCUAACAGCGGAGCGACUCGAAAUAAAUUGCUAAGAGAUGCCUUUACCUAUUCACGGUGGACCGAACGUGUCACUGACUACACGCU